CACGUAGGGGGCGAGCGUUGUCCGGAUUUAUUGGGCGUAAAGAGCUCGUAGGCGGUUCGGCAAGUCGGGGGUGAAAUUUCGAGGCUCAACCUCGAAACGCCACUCGAUACUGCUGUGACUGGAGUCCGGUAGAGGAGUGCGGAAUUCCGGGUGUAGCGGUGGAAUGCGUAGAGAUCCGGAAGAACACCGGUGGCGAAGGCGGCCUGCUGGGCAGUUUAGCUGACACUGAGGCGCGACAGCGUGGGGAGCAAACAGG
rnacentral:rRNA from 1 species